UGGGGAAUUUUGGACAAUUGGGCGAAAGCCUGAUCCAGCAAUGCCGCGUGUGUGAAGAAGGCCUUCGGGUUGUAAAGCACUUUUGUCCGGAAAGAAAUCCUUGGCUCUAAUACAGUCGGGGGAUGACGGUACCGGAAGAAUAAGCACCGGCUAACUACGUGCCAGCAGCCGCGGUAAUACGUAGGGUGCAAGCGUUAAUCGGAAUUACUGGGCGUAAAGCGUGCGCAGGCGGUUUGCUAAGACCGAUGUGAAAUCCCCGGGCUCAACCUGGGAACUGCAUUGGUGACUGGCAGGCUAGAGUAUGGCAGAGGGGGGUAGAAUUCCACGUGUAGCAGUGAAAUGCGUAGAGAUGUGGAGGAAUACCGAUGGCGAAGGCAGCCCCCUGGGCCAAUA
rnacentral:rRNA from 1 species